rnacentral:misc_RNA from 1 species
GAAAUGCGAUAAGUAAUGUGAAUUGCAGAAUUCAGUGAAUCAUCGAAUCUUUGAACGCACAUUGCGCCCAUUAGUAUUCUAGUGGGCAUGCCUGUUCGAGCGUCAUUUCAACCCCUAAGCACAGCUUAUUGUUGGGCGUCUACGUCUGUAGUGCCUCAAAGACAUUGGCGGAGCGGCAGCAGUCCUCUGAGCGUAGUAAUUCUUUAUCUCGCUUCUGUUAGGUGCUGCCCCCCCGGCCGUAAAACCCCCAAUUUUUUCUGGUUGACCUCGGAUCAGGUAGGAAUACCCGCUGAACUUAAGC